CCUACGGGAGGCUGCAGUGAGGAAUAUUGGUCAAUGGGCGCGAGCCUGAACCAGCCAAGUCGCGUGAGGGAGGACGGCCCUACGGGUUGUAAACCUCUUUUGCCGGGGAGCAACGGGCGUCACGUGUGGCGCCACUGAGAGUACCCGGAGAAAAAGCAUCGGCUAACUACGUGCCAGCAGCCGCGGUAAUACGGAGGAUGCGCGCGUUAUCCGGAUUUCUUGGGUUUAAAGGGAGCGUAGAUGGGUUGUUAAGUCAGUUGUGAAAGUUUGCGGCUCAACCGUAAAGUUGCAAUUGAUACUGGCAGUCUGGAGUACAGUUGAGGUAGGCGGAAUUCGUGGUGUAGCGGUGAAAUGCUUAGAUAUCACGAAGAACUCCGAUUGCGAAGGCAGCUUACUAAACUGCCACUGACAUUGAUGCUCGAAAGUGUGGGUAUCAAACAGGAUUAGAGACCCGUGUAGUC
rnacentral:rRNA from 1 species